rnacentral:rRNA from 1 species
UACGUAGGGGGCAAGCGUUAUCCGGAUUUACUGGGUGUAAAGGGAGCGUAGACGGUACGCCAAGUCUGAAGUGAAAUGCCGCAGCUUAACUGCGGAACUGCUUUGGAAACUGGCGGGCUAGAGUGCGGGAGGGGUAUGCGGAAUGCGCAGUGUAGCGGUGAAAUGCUUAGAUAUUGCGCAGAACUCCGAUUGCGAAGGCAGCAUACCGGCGGCGAUCUGACGCUGAGGCACGAAAGCGUGGGUAUCGAACAGG